rnacentral:rRNA from 1 species
UACGUAGGUUGCAAGCGUUAUCCGGAAUUAUUGGGCGUAAAGCGCGCGUAGGCGGUUAUUUAAGUCUGCUGUGAAAGCCCACGGCUCAACCGGGGAGGGGCAUUGGAAACUGGAAAACUUGAGUGCAGAAGAGGAAAGGGGAAUUCCAUGUGUAGCGGUGAAAUGCGGAGAGAUAAGGAGGAACACCAGUGGCGAAGGCGAUGUGCUGGACAGUAACUGACGCUGAUGGGCGAAAGCGUGGGGAGCAAACAGG